UUGUCCCUGCUGUGCUCGUGAUGCUGCACCUUCCGUUUUGAGCCAACACUUACUUUUAGGGUCUCUAACUCCAAUAGAAAUAACGCGAUAGGCCUGAGCCAAGGCGGCGUUUCUGGGUCGGGACCCACCUGCGAAAGCAGGUUCAAAACUUCGCAGCACACGGCAUUGGCGGGGAAUCG
rnacentral:other from 1 species